ACAGGGAGCAAGGACCUGGGAAUAGAGCUAAGAAGCAGUCCGUUGGCACUCCCUCUAUGCAGGCUAAGAACUGUCUGGGGACAGCCUUUCCGGCUCGGGGCCAGAGGAGCUUGGCUCUCAUAGGGACGGAGUUACAGAUGAUCGUGAGUUCCAUGAGGUGGUGCUGGAAGCUAACUCCUGUCCUUUGGAAGAACAUGUGAACACCUCGAAAUGGAUUCAGGAAAUCACACAAGACCAACAGAGAGGAGUGAGCUCAUUUCCAGGCCUAUGGAGAGUAAGUACAUUCCAGUUAUCCCUGUGAUAACCACCCCUUUCAUAAAGAACACUCAGGCUUGUCACCAAACAGCAUUGGAGACUUAGAGAAGGAAACUCCAAAGAGGUUGGAGGUUUGGGAAAAGGCCCCCAACACAGAGGGCGCACAGAAAAUACUAUCCUGUCAUCCGCGUAAUUGGUUAUGGAGUUAUGACUUCUAAAUAAAAACAAAUCUUCUUCCAGUAUAAGAUUUGACCUUCCUAGGUUCCUAAUUGCUUUGAAAGAAGCAGAACCUCAGGGACGUUUCCCCUGCUCUGGCUAAAAAAGCCAAAGUGUUAUCAGGAUAGUGCAAGAGGGCCGAGGGCAGCCGCAUCUGCCUCGCACCACACCAGGCAUGAUCUGAGGGCAGCCACAUCUGCCUCGCACCACACCAGGCAUGAUAAGAUCUGAGACUGACAAGAAUGACUUCCUGACUCUGCAGAUUUUUAAAUUUAUAAGCAGCCAAGAUUUUAAAAAAAAAAAUGUGUACAGGGAUUAACAUGGUAACACCAAGUCUUUCUUCCCAUCUUUCUGGACCCCAACACAAGGACUCUGAUUGGCCUUCCGUAAGACUCACCCACAGUCACUGAACUUUGGACAUAGACUGCUAUGACUGGAGGGAAUGACUCUGGGGAAUCCAAAGUGGCAGUUACCAGGAAGCAGAGGUAGCCACAGGGUGCUACAGGAAGACCGCGCUCCCGGGACU